ACAAAUCUAUUAUUAGAAAUACUGUAACAUAGAAAAUAUAAAACACUUACAGGCCGUUCUUGCUCAUGACAAUUCAGAACGCAAGAAAAUAUUAUUUCAGCUGGAACGAUCUUCAACGUGGCUUUAACUCUUAAAAUAACUUCCUGGUUCAGGCUGCAAUACUGCAAUUGUCAUACUCUAACAAGAUAAUACUCAAAAGGUCAGAACCAUUUGAAUUUAAUGUUUGAGUCUCUGUAACCAUAUAAAUGUAUUCUUCUUGUUUUCUAGUGAACUUGCAGCAGCCCAGUAUCUCCCACAGUGCUCCUGAUGGAGGGUUUCACAUGGGGCCUCAGGGGCCAGUGAUCAUCAGGGGUCACAGUUUCACUAUCAUCUGUUCAACUCAAUCUCAGUUUCCUGGAGGAUCUUUUCACCUGUUCAGAGGAUCAGACAUCACCAGGACUGAGUCAGCUGUCAGUCACUCUGCUUCCUUCUUCUUUCCUGAGGCAGAUUUUUCACACGAGGGAAACUACAGUUGUGUUUAUGAAGUCAGUGUCUCCUCACGCUCCUUCCAUUCAUCAGCCUCUGAACUGCUGCUCAUCACUAUCACAGCCUCCCUGCUUCCUGUCAUUGGUGCUGCAGUGUCAGCUGUGCUGCUCUUAUUGUCUUCCCUCGCUUCCUGUCAUUGGUGCUGCAGUGUCAGUCUGUGCUGCUCUUAUUGUCUGUCCUCAUAAUCAUCCUCCUGCUGAAGAGAAGACAAAAGCAAAGGAACAAGGAAACACAUUCAAAGUGCUCUUUUAUGAAAGGUAAUGGUUUUCAUUCUAUAAAAGAAUUUAGAGGAUGCCUUAUAAAACUGUUUCUUCCAAAGUCACUGUCUUUUUAUAUUUAUUAUAUAUAUAUAUAUAUAUAUAUAUAUAUAUAUAUAUAUAUAUAUAUAUACAUAUACAUAUAUAUGUAAUAUUAAUAUUCCAUAUUUGUACCUUUCAUGAUACGUGAUAAAUGAAUCACCUAUUGCCACCCCUGAAAUCUAAAUGUAAUGUUGGGGUUACGGGGCGGGGCUAAGGCAGAUAAAAACCAACAUGGCUAUAACCUAGAAUAUGUCUCGGGUCUUCUCCUUACAUCACAACUAAACAGUACCUUCAAAAAUUCCUGGGUUGCUUUUGCUGUAUGUUUUGGGUCAUCGUCCAUUUGCCGCCCAAUCACCUUUGCUCAAUUUGGCUGAAUCUGGGCAGACAGUAUAUCCCUAAACACUUCAGAAUUCAUCUGGCUGCUUAUGUCUUCCA
rnacentral:lncRNA from 1 species